rnacentral:rRNA from 1 species
UGGGGAAUAUUGCACAAUGGGCGCAAGCCUGAUGCAGCCAUGCCGCGUGUGUGAAGAAGGCCUUCGGGUUGUAAAGCACUUUCAGCGGGGAGGAAGGCGAUAAGGUUAAUAACCUUGUCGAUUGACGUUACCCGCAGAAGAAGCACCGGCUAACUCCGUGCCAGCAGCCGCGGUAAUACGGAGGGUGCAAGCGUUAAUCGGAAUUACUGGGCGUAAAGCGCACGCAGGCGGUCUGUCAAGUCGGAUGUGAAAUCCCCGGGCUCAACCUGGGAACUGCAUUCGAAACUGGCAGGCUAGAGUCGUGUAGAGGGGGGUAGAAUUCCAGGUGUAGAGGUGAAAUGCGUAGAGAUCUGGAGGAAUACCGGUGGCGAAGGCGGCCCCCUGGACAAAGACUGACGCUCAGGUGCGAAAGCGUGGGGAGCAAACAGG